GAUGAAGAACGCAGCGAAAUGCGAUAAGUAAUGUGAAUUGCAGAAUUCAGUGAAUCAUCGAAUCUUUGAACGCACCUUGCGCUCCUUGUUAUUCUGAGGAGCAUGCCUGUUUGAGUAUCAUAAAAUUGUCAACUGUGUCACUUUUAUAAGUGAUUUACAGAUUGGAUAUGGGAGUUUUUGCAGGCCUAGUUUGUCAGCUCUCCUGAAACACAUUAGCAGUGCCUUGUUGGUCCUUGGGUGUGAUAAUUUAUCUAUGCCUUGACGUGUACCUUCAUAAAGGUUGUGCUGCUUCCAAUGGUCUUUGGACACAUUUAUUGAAGAUUUGAUCUCAAAUCAGGCAGGACUACCCGCUGAACUUAAGCAUAUCAAUAAGCGGAGGA
rnacentral:misc_RNA from 1 species